AACGAACGCUGGCGGCAUGCCUAACACAUGCAAGUCGAACGAGACCUUCGGGUCUAGUGGCGCACGGGUUCGUAACGCGUGGGAACCUGCCCUUAGGUUCUGAAUAACUCCCCGAAAGGGGUGCUAAUACCGGAUAAUGUCUUCGGACCAAAGAUUUAUCGCCUUUGGAUGGGCCCGCGUUGGAUUAGCUAGUUGGUAGGGUAAAAGCCUACCAAGGCGACGAUCCAUAGCUGGUCUGAGAGGAUGAUCAGCCACACUGGGACUGAGACACGGCCCAGACUCCUACGGGAGGCAGCAGUGGGGAAUAUUGGACAAUGGGCGAAAGCCUGAUCCAGCAAUGCCGCGUGAGUGAUGAAGGCCUUAGGGUUGUAAAGCUCUUUUACCCGGGAUGAUAAUGACAGUACCGGGAGAAUAAGCGCCGGCUAACUCCGUG
rnacentral:rRNA from 1 species